rnacentral:lncRNA from 1 species
GGUUGGGACACACAUAUCCGGACCGUGCCAGGACCGAGACACGGCCGGGUGUCGGACGUCACCCGCUUCUGAAUUAAAACAAUUAAAAUAUAUGGAAAUGUUCACACAUGAUCGUGACGUAUCCGGGUCACGUCGCCGAUUCGUGUGCGGACCGGGCGGAAUAUCGUUAGUUUAAUUUUUGACGUCCGGUGUAUCGGAACGGAGCUCGAGUGCAUUAAUUUAAAGCUGUGUUUAAUAUGGACAUAGAGAGGUUAAUAGAAGAAGUAUGAAAAUUUCCUGUACUUUACGAUCAAAAACAUGGGAAAUAUAGGAAUACUGAAUAUAAGGAACGAGUUUGGAAACAAAUUGCAACAGACUUGCAAGUUAAAGGUGGAGUCGAGGAAUGCAAGAAAAAGUGGACAUCAGUUCGUGAUCAGCUACGGAAGACUUUGCAGAAAAGGAAAACCAGCUCAGGACAAGCUGCUGUGCGUCAGCACAAAUAUAAGUAUGAAGACCUCUUAAUGUUCUUGCUACCCCACAUUGCAGAACGAGAGACAAUUUCCAAUGUUCUAUAUAAUCCCGAAGGAGAGGAGGGUGAACAUGAAUCUACUUUAGAAGAAUCUCAAGACGAGGAUUCUAAUAUUCAAGAUUUUGCGCAAAAAAAUAGUGGAAAUGAGGAACCUAUAACUGAAAAUCAGGACAGUGAAACACAAAGUGGAAUAACUGCUCAGUCUUCGCAAAUGCCCCCGGCAGGGUCCUCCCUCUCUUCCAAUAAUAAAAACAAAUUUGUAAGGCCGCCGUUAAAACGAAAAUUUCAGCAUGAGCGCCAUCUACAACAAUCACCGUCAAGCCAGCUCAUGACUUAUAUUUUAGCAGAAAAAGAAGCUGAAAAAGUAGCUAAUAAACGUUCAAGAGAGAGGGAAGAGCAACAUCCGGUUGAUGCUUUUUUAGCGGGUAUAGCACCAGCCCUUAAAUCGCUGCAUCCGAUACUUUUUAAUCAGGCGAAAGGAAGCAUUUUUUCCAUUGUACAAGAGUUUGAAUUAAAGCAACUCACAAAUAAUAGUUACCCUCAGAAUCAGUAUAUUCCUCCGAUUUCGCCAGCAUCUUCGUCGCUAACUGUUCCAACGCCAGAACCUUCACCUGUACAAUCAUUGUCUAGUCCUACAUACUUUGAAUUUUAGGCAAAAUGCGGAAAAAUAUGUCACCACUACUAACGAGCCUUUUUUAAAAGUUUUUUGCUAUAAUAAUAUAAUUUGUUUAUUAAAUA